AACGAACGCUGGCGGCAGGCUUAACACAUGCAAGUCGAACGCCCCGCAAGGGGAGUUGCAGACGGGUGAGUAACUCGUCGGAACAUACCCUUUUCUACGGAAUAGCUCUGGUAAACUGGUAUUAAUACCGUAUACGCCCUACGGAGGAACGAUUUAUCGGGGAAUGAUUGGCCCGCGGUGGAUUAGCUAGUUGGCGGGGUAAACGCCCACAAACGCCACGAUCCAUAGCGGGUCUGAAAGGAUGAUGAGCCACAGUGGGACUGAGACCCCGCCCACACCCCAACCGGCGGCAGCCGUGGGGAAUAUUGGACAAUGGGCGCAAGCGUGAUCCAGCAAUGUGGGGUGAGUGAUGAAGGCCUUAGGGUUGUAAAGCCCUUUCACCGAUGAAGCUAAUGACGGUAGUCGGAGAAGAAGCACCGGCUAACUUCGUG
rnacentral:rRNA from 1 species